rnacentral:rRNA from 1 species
CCAAUAGCGUAUAUUAAAGUUGUUGCAGUUAAAAAGCUCGUAGUUGAACUUCGGGGUCUACCCAUUGGUCAGGCUUAAUUGUCUGCACUGGUGAGAUGGAUCUCUACCUUCUGAGGAACUUUCAUGCCAUUUAUUUGGUGCGCUGGGAAAUCAGGACUAUUACUUUGAACAAAUUAGAGUGUUUCAAGCAUGCUAACGUCUGAAUACAUUAGCAUGGACUAAUGAAAUAGGACGGACUGAUUCUAUUUCGUUGGUUUCUAGGACCACCGUAAUGAUUAAUAGGGAUAGUUGGGGGCAUUAGUAUUCAAUUGUCAGAGGUGAAAUUCUUGGAUUUAUUGAAGACUAACUACUGCGAAAGCAUUUGCCAAGGAUGUUUUCAUUAAUCAAGAACGAAAGUUAGGGGAUCGAAGACGAUCAGAUACCGUCGUAGUCUUAACCAUAAACUAUGCCGACUAGGGAUCGGACGAAGUUAAUUUUAUAAUGACGCGGUCGGCACCUUACG